GUGUCAGCCGCCGCGGUAAUACGGAGGGGGCUAGCGUUGUUCGGAAUUACUGGGCGUAAAGCGCGCGUAGGCGGCUUUGUAAGUCAGAGGUGAAAGCCCGGAGCUCAACUUCGGAAUAGCCUUUGAGACUGCAUCGCUUGAAUCCGGGAGAGGUGAGUGGAAUUCCGAGUGUAGAGGUGAAAUUCGUAGAUAUUCGGAAGAACACCAGUGGCGAAGGCGGCUCACUGGACCGGUAUUGACGCUGAGGUGCGAAAGCGUGGGGAGCAAACAGGAUUAGAUACCCCAGUAGUCC
rnacentral:rRNA from 1 species